AUUCUGAAUAUGAUGAGAAUUAAAGCCACUGAUUUACUGGGGCUGCUCAGGUCUCUCUAUUGGUUUUAGUUGUCUAUAGCUGGUAUAAAUGCAGAAUAUUGGACAAUUAAUUUCCUUAAUGAAAGUUGAAGGAUAAAACUUCUGUUUGAAAGACAAAUGCCUUCAGCAGAUAGUGUUUUGGGCAUCAGGUUUUUGCAUGCUGGAGUCUGUGUACUGGAUCACAGCUGAUCAGCAAUGAGGGAACAUUAAAGACUUUGGAAGUCCGUUUUGGAUCUGUCAAAAAAUGACUUUGGCACUGGUCCAUUAUUCAGCCCUCUGUGAACAAAUGUGCAAAGCAGCUCACUGAAGCAGAGACAGCAUUGACAGACGGGUCACUGAUUUUUUUCUGUCAGCAAGAACGAAAAUGUGGUGAGACAACCAGAGGACAGUGAAAGUCAUACAAGAGGAUCCAGCCUAUUUCCUUCUUAAACAAAGAUGUCUGGAAUGAGCAUCAUCCUAGUGUUUAUUUGCUGUUUCUUGGGAUGCUAAGGAGGAUCGAGCUUACUGAAGUAGUGGAAUAUCUGUGCAGUCACUUUGGAAGACAGGGAUAUUGGUGGCUCUCUGUUGUGCUUCUGGAAAACUGCAAUGAAAGAACAGCCUCAUAGAGGGAAAUAAAACCUGAAUUUGUGCUACUAUAGUUCCUGUAUAUUCAACUUAAAUAUCUCAAAGUUUAUGUGACCUCCAUAUAGAGAUAGUCAAGGAGCUGGUCCAGAUUGCAGCAAGGUUGAUAUAUCUGCUCAUGGACUACUUUGGAGUUCGGAAGGACUAGCAUCUCUAUGGUAUUUCUGUCCUAGCCACAAACUGCUUCAUUACCCUACCUCUCUUAUGUACGCUGAGAACUACAUAAAGGAGUUGCUUGGUUGUGCACCAUACCUGGUUUUCCUCAGGUCGCUUUCUAAAACUUAGCCUGA